ensembl:Y_RNA Y_RNA Y RNA
GGCUGCUCCAAGUUCAGUGAUGUUUACAGCUAAUUGAUCACAACCAGUUACAGAUUUCUGUGUUCCUUCUCCACUCCACUUCUUCAUUUGACUAGCCUUAA